AAAAUAUUCAAAAUUACAUGGUAUAGCAAGAAGCGUGGAAAUAUUAACCUGGAAGUUCUAGAUCAAUUAAGUGGAUAGGACAAGUUGCCUCGGAUUCAAGCAAGAUGGUAAAUUUAGGACUGGUAACAAGAAGCUGCUUUUCCCACAGAAUAACUAACACUUGAAAUGGAUACCUGCACAGAUUGAGAAGGAGGUACAAACUCGAGAAUCGUUUUUAAGACUGUACGGGAAGCUGCAUUGGACAGACUUUGUGGCCAUGGCUAGUAGAAGUGAGAUGAGCUAAAUGGCUUCCAUUUAUCCUGAAUUAUCCUGUUACCUGGAGCCAGUGAAUAAAGUUAUUAGAAAGUCAAUCAAAAAGUUUUGAAAUUAAACUGAGGGCUGAUAUUUCAUGACUAUAUGUAAUGGUAAAUGGUGUAGAAACUGCAAAUCCAGGAUAUCUACAAUCUAAACUAUUUCAUUAAUCUAAGAGUCAACGAACUGGCUAAAGACAAAUCAGGCAGUUCUCCUCAUGAAGCAAGUGAUGAUGACAUUCAAGUAGGAUACUGUGGGCUGCAGUCUUAAAUCUUCUGUGGAGGAGUUGGAAACUUUAGGGCAUGGAAGUCUUUGGGAAUGGAUGACCCUUCCUCAUGUGCAUCUACUUUCGGAAGUGUAGAGGCCUGUUAGAGACAGGCAGUAAAUGAUGGUCUAGCAAACAAUGCCCUAGAACAUAGGACAGUACAGGCUCUUCAACCCACGAUGUUGUGCUGACCUAUUAUCCUACUAAGAACAAUCUACCCUGCAUACCUUACAUUUAACUAUCCUCCCUGUGUCUAUCCAAGAGUUGCUUAAAAGUCUCUUAAAGUAUCUGACUCAUCGAAUAAACAAAUAAAUAGAAAAAGUGUGCUCGAUGGACAUAGUUCAAAUAUUCAGCCAUGAUUUUCCUCUCUCAAUUCUUGCCUUUAUAUUCACAGGACACCACUUGGACCAUCCAGAAAACUAAAUGCAAGCUUUAAAUCACCAGUACAGAUCUCCCUGGACCAUGAGCUUGAUUCUGCUGGUCUUCAACUUCAUGUUGAGAAUCUGAGGAAGAAAUGUAACAAUCUUGACCGUGAGAUUGCAGAGCUGCUCUCGGCAGGGUACACUCUGGAAGAGUUGGACCAGCACAUUGAUCAGCUCCAUGAGUACAAUGAUAUCAAGGAUGUGGGCCAGUUACUGUUGGGAAAACUGGGGGUCUGUUGUGCCACCGUGGGAGUGCCCUCAGAGAUGUGCCAUCUGUCUGAACAGGGUUGAUUAAAAGGAAAUCUAACUGGAGCAAUCAAGAACAUAAUGUUGCAUGAGCUGUUUGGUUGCCUUAUUGAAAAAGCAAGACUUGAUACGUUUGUUUUGGACCAUUGGAUUCUCUGACGGUAAAGAUGGCAGUUUCCUUCCCUAAAGGGCAUGCGUGGCAGGAUUUGAACCUGGUUCUCCAGAACAUUACCUGCGUCUUGAGAUUAACAGUCCAGCGAAAAUGCCACUAGGCCAGCAGCCCCCCAAUUCAUUGUCAGUAAAGCGAUUUGUGUGGGAGGGAGUCACAAAUGGUGCUAAAUAAUAUAUUUUCGUCUAUGAUCUCCUUUGGAAUUCUUUCGCUGAAAGUGAAGAUGCCCAUCUUUCCUCAGUCUUUUCCUCAUGGCUUAGGCCUCAAUUUUCAGCAAUAAACCUCAUGGUACUCUUCCAAA